rnacentral:rRNA from 1 species
AUUGAACGCUGGCGGCGUGCUUAACACAUGCAAGUCGAUCGGUAACAGGUGUAGCAAUACAUGCUGACGAGAGGCGGACGGGUGAGUAAUGCUUGGGAAUCUGCCUAUUAGUGGGGGACAACCCGGGGGAAACUCGGGCUAAUACCGCAUACGCUCUACGGAGGAAAGCCGGGGACCGCAAGGCCUGGCGCUAAUAGAUGAGCCCAAGUCGGAUUAGCUAGUUGGUAGGGUAACGGCCUACCAAGGCGACAAUCCGUAGCUGGUCUGAGAGGACGACCAGCCACACCGGAACUGAGACACGGGUCCGGACUCCUACGGGAGGGCAGCAGUGGGGAAUAUUGGACAAUGGGGGCAACCCUGAUCCAGCGACGCCGCGUGGGUGAAGAAGG